rnacentral:tRNA from 1 species
GGGCCGGUAGCUCAGUCGGUAGAGCAACUGACUUUUAAUCAGUGGGUCGGCGGUUCGAACCCGCCCCGGCUCA